UCGAGGAUCUUCGGCAAUGGGGGCAACCCUGACCGAGCGACGCCGCGUGUGCGACGAAGGCCUUCGGGUUGUAAAGCACUGUCGAGGGGGAGAAAAGCCCGCAAGGGUGUGAUCUAUCCCUGGAGGAAGCUCGGGCUAAGUUCGUGCCAGCAGCCGCGGUAAGACGAACCGAGCGAACGUUGUUCGGAAUCACUGGGCUUAAAGGGCGCGUAGGCGGGCUGCCGCGUCCGGGGUGAAAUCCUCCCGCUCAACGGGAGAACGGCCUCGGAUACGGGCGGCCUCGAGGGGGGUAGGGGCAUCUGGAACUGUGGGUGGAGCGGUGAAAUGCGUUGAUAUCCACAGGAACUCCGGUGGCGAAGGCGAGGUGCUGGACCCCUUCUGACGCUGAGGCGCGAAAGCCAGGGGAGCGAACGG
rnacentral:rRNA from 1 species